rnacentral:rRNA from 1 species
UACAUACUCUGAGACGUGAUACCGAGCCGCUUCAGGCGAAGUCAUUAAUCCUAUGCUGCCUAGAAAAGCCCAGUAGCGAGUUGACAUGGUGCCCGUACCCCAAACCAACACAGGUGGACAGGUAGAGCAUACCAAGGCGAGUGGGAUAACUAUGGUUAAGGAACUCGGCAAAUUUCCUCCGUAACUUCGGGAUAAGGAGGACCCCAGUAGCGUGACGAGACUUGCUCUCCGAGCGUGAAGGGGUGGCACAAAAUUGAGGGAAGCGACUGUUUACCAAGAACACAGCAGCGUGCUAAGCCGUAAGGCGCUGUAUACGCUGUGACUCCUGCCCGGUGCUGGAAGGUUACGGGGAUGGGUUAGUCCUUCGGGACGAAGCUCUGAACCUAAGCCCCAGUAAACGGCGGCCGUAACUAUAACGGUCCUAAGGUAGCGAAAUUCCUUGUCGGGUAAGUUCCGACCUGUACGAAUGGAGUAACGACUUCCCUACUGUCUCAACCAUAGACCCAGCGAAAUUGAAGUACGAGUAAAGAUGCUCGUUAGCUGCAGAAGGACGGAAAGACCCCGUGGACCUUUACUAUAACUUGAUGUUGUGUUUUGUCAUAUGUUGUGUAGGAUAGGUGGGAGACAGGGAAGCAUGGACGCUAGUCUGAGUGGAGUCAUCGUUGAAAUACCACCCUGCAUAUGGUGAGGCUCUAACCUAGACCCGUUAUCCGGGUUGGGGACAGCGUCAGGCGGGUAGUUUAACUGGGGCGGUUGCCUCCUAAAGAGUAACGGAGGCGCCCAAAGGUUCCCUCAGCCUGGUUGGCAAUCAGGCGUCGAGUGCAAUGGCAAAAGGGAGCUUGACUGCGAGACCUACAAGUCGAGCAGGAGCGAAAGCUGGGCAUAGUGAUCCGGCGGUUGCGUGUGGAAGCGCCGUCGCUCAACGGAUAAAAGGUACCCCGGGGAUAACAGGCUAAUCUUGCCCAAGCGUCCAUAGCGACGGCAAGGUUUGGCACCUCGAUGUUGGCUCAUCGCAUCCUGGGGCUGAAGCAGGUCCCAAGGGUUGGGCUGUUCGCCCAUUAAAGCGGUACGCGAGCUGGGUUCAGAACGUCGUGAGACAGUUCGGUCCCUAUCCUCUGUAGCCGUAGGUGAAUUGAGGAAAGCUGUCCCUAGUACGAGAGGACCGGGACGGACGCAGCUCUCGUGUGCCAGUUGUCCUGCCAAGGGCAUGGCUGGUUAGCGACCUGCGGAAAGGAUAACCGCUGAAAGCAUCUAAGCGGGAAGCCUCUUCCGAGAUGAAUUCACCCACAGGGUUAACCUGGUAAGGCCCGUGGUAGACCACCACGUUGAUAGGCCGGAAGUGUAAGCGUGGCAACACGUUCAGCUGACCGGUACUAAUCGGCCGAGGGCUUGAAUUG